UACGAGGGGGGCAAGCGUUGUUCGGAAUUACUGGGCGUAAAGCGUGCGCAGGCGGCUUGCCAAGUCAGAUGUGAAAGCCCCGGGCUCAACCCGGGAACUGCGUUUGAAACUGGCAGGCUAGAGUUUGGCAGAGGGGGGUGGAAUUCCACGUGUAGCAGUGAAAUGCGUAGAGAUGUGGAGGAACACCGAUGGCGAAGGCAGCCCCCUGGGCCAAAACUGACGCUCAGGCACGAAAGCGUGGGGAGCAAACAGG
rnacentral:rRNA from 1 species